ACAAAUUGAAUGGAUCUUCCGAUCAGGGAAUUUUGAUAUCUGCAGAUGAGUAUGCACAAUUCAUCCAAUACCAGGCAUCUCUAAAAUUCUCUAAUUCCUCCUCUAUCACUGCAAUUGCCGAGUCAGGUAACUCUAAUGCAUGUCUUGUGUCUUCAUCCUCCAAAUGGGUUAUUGAUUCUGGUGCUAUCGAUCAUAUGUCAGGUAAUUCUACC
rnacentral:lncRNA from 1 species